rnacentral:lncRNA from 1 species
GUUCCCAGGCCAGGGGUCCAAUCGGACCUACAGCUGCGGGACUAUACCACAGCCACAGCAAUGCCAGAUCCGAGUCGCGUCUGCAACCUACACCACAGCUCACAGCAACAUCGGAUCCUUAACCCACUGAGUGAGGACGGGGAUCGAACCCGCAACCUCAUGGUUUCUUGUCCGAUUUGUUUCCACUGAGCCACCACAAGAACUCCCACCUUUUUUUUUUUUUUUUUGAUGGGUGCACCCGAGGGAUAUGGAAGCCCCCAGCCAGGGAUGGAACCCAAGCCUCAGCUACAACCUAUGCCAGAGGUGCGGCAAUGCUGGAUCCUUUCACUCACUGUGCCAGGCUGGGGACUGAACCAGCGCCUCUGCAGUAACUGGAGCUGCUACAGGUGGAUUCUGAACCCACUGCACCACAGUGGGAGUGCCCCGUUGCAUACAUUUCAAAAGUAAAAUGGACAGUUCAUGAACGUGCCUUACUGUCACUUGCCUUUUAAAACACAGAAGACCUGCCUUCCAGGCUUCAGGGGCUGGCGUCUCGUCGGGUGAGACUGCACCGAGCUGCCCUUCCCUCAGGGGGGCUCUGCCCCGUGACCACCACCCAGAGGGGAGCUGUCAGUCGGCUGGAUGGUCAUCUGGGGGAGGACAGGACAGACCACUGGCCACUCAAGGGAGCAGCAGGUGGGUCUGACCAAGAGACAGGUUUGCCUGAUGACACACGGAGACUCUGAGACCAGUUUAAGGUACGCCACGAGCACAAGGUCUAAAUCACAGAUGCUGGAGUUCCUGUCGUGGCACAGGGGUUAACGAAUCCGACUAGGAACCCUGAGGUUGCAGAUUCAUUUCCUCUGCGCCACAACGGGGAACUCCACAUCAUGUGAUCAUUUUAAAUAGAGAGACAAAGUCUCACCUUAGAUAAAUCCCACCUUGUCCCCUUACCCCAGCCUCACUGCGCUUUAGUCACUGAUUCAACAAACACCUGUGGAGCAUUCACUCCAGCCCAGGACCAAUGCAGGCAUCUCAGGCCGGAGCCCUGGAGAGGCACCAUCAGCAUCCUGUCAGGCGGGUGGUCAGCCCAGGAGCCAGUGCGGAGGCCUGACCUCAAGUUCUAGGUCUGGGACUGAGCACAGAGCACCCAUCCUGUGUGAGCGAGGGGCACUCAAGAACAAAAAGGGCUGAGAGAGACCCAGUGCACUGACAGAACGAACGAAAACCAAGAAAAUAAACUCACUCUGCGUGAAGAUUCUGCAAACGACUCAAGUCCUUUAGUCACAAAGCAGGAUUCAGUGUGCUCACAACAGCCUCACAGCAGAGAGCGAGCCGAGGGUCAGGAACGGCUCACUUCCCUGUGACUCGAACAGUUUACUGCAUCUCACGCCACUUCAUCAACAAAUGAACAGCAUGUGGGCUUUACCUGGGGCGGGGGGCGGCAAAGACAAAACUUCUAAAAGCAUCGUUAUAGUGGCAGAUCAGACAAAACCUUUUGGUUCUGAGCAAACUCGAGACUAAAAGUGGCAAAAAGAUUUACAGGGAAGUCCCGCACAGAUCACCUCUGCGCCCUGCCUCUGGACUGGCUGUCCUCUCCUGAGAGGGAGCUGACUUGCCACGGACCUCCCUCAGCACCCAGCGCCCAACUAUUCAGCACUCACCCACAACGACUUCCCAGUGACAAGGUCGCUGUGCUGCAGAGCUGCUGCUAAGCUCAUCACUCUCCUUCAUUCGACCAGUGUUUACCGGGCACAGAGUGUGUGCCAGGAACUGUUCUUCGCACCAAACAGCCACCCUGUGGACCUUACCCCACAGUAAAGGAUUACGCGUAACAAACGUACUAAAGAGACUUCAGAAGAAUUAAGUGCUGUGGGAAAUUAAACAGGAAAGGGAAUCAGGAAACCGGAGGUGGCGAGCUGGAAUUCUAGGUAAGAUAGGGAAGGCCUGCCCUCACUGGGCCUAAGAGUGAGGAAGUGAGGGAUCCGGGCAGAUCCGAGGACAGAGCACAUGAGUCUGUUGAGAGAAUGGCCAAGAGGCCAUGGCGGUGGGGGUCAGAGGGUGGCAAGGGGCGUCCCUCCCCAACAAAGGUGCCCA